rnacentral:tRNA from 1 species
GGUCCCGUAGCUCAGUCGGUAGAGCGAUACACUUUUAAUGUAGCGGUCGCGCGUUCGAAUCGCGCCGGGAUCA